UAGUGAUGCAUUUUACUCUUUUGAAGUA
rnacentral:sRNA from 1 species